rnacentral:rRNA from 1 species
ACCCGCUGAACUUAAGCAUAUCAAUAAGCGGAGGAAAAGAAACCAACAGGGAUUGCCCUAGUAACGGCGAGUGAAGCGGCAUCAGCUCAAAUUUGAAAUCUGGCUCUUUUAGGGUCCGAGUUGUAAUUUGCAGAGGGCGCUUUGGCAUAGGCAGCGAUUCAAGUUCCUUGGAACAGGACGUCACAGAGGGUGAGAAUCCCGUACGUGGUCGCUAGCUCUUGCCGUGUAAAGCCCCUUCGACGAGUCGAGUUGUUUGGGAAUGCAGCUCUAAAUGGGAGGUAAAUUUCUUCUAAAGCUAAAUAUUGGCCAGAGACCGAUAGCGCACAAGUAAAGUGAUCGAAAGAUGAAAAGUACUUUGGAAAGAGAGUCAAAAAGCACGUGAAAUUGUUGAAAGGGAAGCGCUUGCAGCCAGACUUGCCUGUAGUUGCUCAUCCGGGCUCUUGCCCGGUGCACUCUUCUGUAGGCAGGCCAGCAUCAGUUUGGGCGGUUGGAUAAAGGUCUCUGUCAUGUACCUCUCUUCGGGGAGGCCUUAUAGGGGAGGCGACAUACAACCAGCCUGGACUGAGGUCCGCGCAUUCGUGCUAGGAUGCUGGCGUAAUGGCUGU